rnacentral:tRNA from 1 species
GCCUGGGGGGCUCAGUUGGUUGAGCAGCCGACUUCAGCUCGGGUCAUGAUCUCAUCGCUCAUGGGUUCGAGCCCCACGUCAGGCU